UCUUGCGAGGAAAUGUGACGGUACCCUAAGAAUAAGCCACGGCUAACUACGUGCCAGCAGCCGCGGUAAUACGUAGGUGGCAAGCGUUGUCCGGAUUUAUUGGGUUUAAAGGGUGCGUAGGUGGUUUGAUAAGUCAGUGGUGAAAGCCGGUUGCUCAACAAUCGAGUUGCCAUUGAUACUGUCGGACUUGAGAGAAGUGGAGGUUCAUGGAAUGGAUGGUGUAGCGGUGAAAUGCAUAGAUAUCAUCCAGAACGUCGAUUGCGAAGGCAGUGGGCUGUACUUUAUCUGACACUGAGGCACGAAAGUGUGGGGAUCAAACAGGAUUAGAUACCCUGGUAGUCCACACUGUAAACGAUGCGAACUAGCUUUUUGGUUUUCGGAUUGGGAGGCUAAGGGAAACCGAUAAGUUCGCCACCUGGGGAGUACGCCGGCAACGGUGAAACUCAAAUGAAUUGACGG
rnacentral:rRNA from 1 species